UUAUAUCUAUCAAAAACAUAUACCCAGCUACUGAAUAUAGAUAGGGAAAAAAUGAAGAGAUUGGAAAUCGUCAGUGAUCUGAGGUACUUCCCAACAAACACACAACGUUGCCUCAACGUAGCGACCUUCCUACAACGUUGUACCAACCUUGCAAAAAGGUUGAGGAUUCUACGUUGUUGCUAAACGUUGUCACAACGAUGUCAUAAGGUUGCCAUUUAAACAUCACGAGGGCCGCAUACUUUAGGUUGUGCUUAGGUGGCGUGGACAACCACUGUACAACAUUUACUGGUCACAGCUGAAUCAGUUUAAAUUUCAACAAGCCGUCGUCUCAUUCAUCAACGACCGAGGAGACGCUAUUUUCACAUGGAGAAUGUUUUCAGCUGUUGAAUUCACCUCAGAUCAGUGUUGCUGUAAUUCCUGAUGGAAAGAAGAAUUGAAUGAGCGAGCAACGCCACAACUACAGGACCUCUUCUUUCUCUUCUCAUAAUUUACAGUAAGUAAGUAUUCGGAGACCUACUCUGACUUCUGUUAACUCAAACCUGUUUUCCCUGUAUCUCUAAAUUUAUUUAAUUGUUUGUAAUUUUGGUAUAUGAUAUAUUAUUAAAACAUUAAAAUAAAGUAGGCUACAUAAUUACUCUGGAGAUUUUAUAUGUAAUGAAAUUACAAUAAAUGUCUGAAACUUCAAUAACUUGCUAGUCAUAGUCAUUUCCUGUGUAGUGCUGUUGUGUCAAGCUCUGAUCUGUCCUCUCUUGUUCACUGCCUAUUUUGACUUUUGUCUGCUGUGGAUCUCUGAAGCUGGAUUAUCCGUUGAAUUUGUUUCUUCCUCUGACUG